CGGCUCUUGUAGGUUAACGAUGGGAGCCGGCUCUUGUAGGUUAACGAUGGGAGCCGGCUCUUGUAGGUUAACGAUGGGAGCCGGCUCUUGUAGGUUAACGAUGGGAGCCGGCUCUUGUAGGUUAACGAUGGGAGCCGGCUCUUGUAGGUUAACGAUGGGAGCCGGCAAACAAUACCAGAAGAGCCGAAUCUAUUUAUAAAAACAUUAAAAAAAUUAAGAUAUGAAUGAUCAAAAGAUUUAAAUGAAUAGAAUUAACAAAUUAAAAGAACGGAAAAAAAUAAAAUAAUAAUAUAGGCCUAAAUGCUCAAGCGCACACACAUUCAUUCUGACUGUCUGCUCAGACUAACAGCCUCACUGUUGUUCCUGUCAAUCAGACACGCAGUGUCAACCAAUGAACCAAAGGUGUGUGAGGGAGGGCCGAGCCAACUCACUCACAGUCACACAGCUGUGAAAACAGCUGUGAAAACAACAGCUGGAAAAUGAGUCAGAAGCACAGUAGCAUUUGGAUGCAUUUUAAUAAUGUAGACAAUGUUAGAGCACAGUAUAGAAUUUGCCAAAACAAAAUGUCAUAUAAAGCUGGUUCUACACACAACCUACACCGGCAUAUGGGAACUGUGCACCCAACUGUGAAGCUAGCUGUAGCGGAGCUUCGAGAAACUAGCGGGCCUGUUAGUGAUAGUGGUGGAGUCAGCACCUCCACACGUGGAGAUGUAUCCACUCAGUCAAGUAGCGCUACUAGUGAUAGUGGUGGAGAUGUAUCCACUCAGUCAAGUAGACCUGCUAGUGAUAGUGGUGGAGAUGUAUCCACUCAGUCAAGUAGGCCUGCUAGUGAUAGUGGUGGAGAUGUAUCCACUCAGUCAAGUAGGCCUGCUAGUGAUAGUGGUGGAGAUGUAUCCACUCAAACAAGUAGGCCUGCUAGUGAUAGUGGUGGAGAUGUAUACACUCAGUCAAGUAGGCCUACUAGUGAUAGUGGUGGAGAUAUAUCCACUCAGUCAAGUAGGCCUGCUAGUGAUAGUGGUGGAGAUGUAUCCACUCAGUCAAGUAGACCUGCUAGUGAUAGUGGUGGAGAUGUAUCCACUCAGUCAAGUAGGCCUGCUAGUGAUAGUGGUGGAGAUGUAUCCACUCAGUCAAGUAGGCCUGCUAGUG
rnacentral:lncRNA from 1 species